rnacentral:rRNA from 1 species
AGAGUUUGAUCCUGGCUCAGGAUGAACGCUAGCUACAGGCUUAACACAUGCAAGUCGAGGGGAAACGACAUCGAAAGCUUGCUUUUGAUGGGCGUCGACCGGCGCACGGGUGAGUAACGCGUAUCCAACCUGCCCAUCACUUGGGGAUAACCUUGCGAAAGUAAGACUAAUACCCAAUGACGUCUCUAGAAGACAUCUGAAAGAGAUUAAAGAUUUAUCGGUGAUGGAUGGGGAUGCGUCUGAUUAGCUUGUUGGCGGGGGUAACGGCCCACCAAGGCGACGAUCAGGUAGGGGUUCUGAGAGGAAGGUCCCCCANAUUGGAACUGAGACACGGUCCAAACUCCUACGGGAGGCA